CUAAACAAACUUGGAAAUAGCUGGUUCUCCCCGAAAACUAUUUAGGUAGUGCCUCAUGUAUCACUCUCGGGGGUAGAGCACUGUAAUGGUUGGGGGGGUCAUUGCGAUCUACCCCGCCAUAGCAAACUCCGAAUACCGAGAAGUGCGAGCAUGGGAGACAGACGGUGGGUGCUAACGUCCAUCGUCAAGAGGGAAACAACCCAGACCGCCAGCUAAGGCCCCCAAUGCGUGGCUAAGUGGAAAACGAGGUGGGAAGGCAUAGACAGCCAGGAGGUUGGCUUAGAAGCAGCCAUCCUUUAAAGAAAGCGUAAUAGCUCACUGGUCGAGUCGUCCUGCGCGGAAGAUGUAACGGGGCUCAAGCCACGAGCCGAAGCUGCGGAUAUGUCGUAAGACAUAUGGUAGGGGAGCGUUCUGUAAGUCUGCGAAGGUGUCUGGUAACGGAUGCUGGAGAUAUCAGAAGUGCGAAUGCUGACAUGAGUAGCGAUAAAGCGGGUGAAAGGCCCGCUCGCCGAAAGCCCAAGGUUUCCUACGCAACGUUCAUCGGCGUAGGGUGAGUCGGCUCCUAAGGCGAGGCCGAAAGGCGUAGUCGAUGGGAAACAGGUCAAUAUUCCUGUACCAGUCCAUGAUGCGAUGGGGGGACGGAGAAGGUUAUAGCAGCCGGGUGUUGGACGUCCCGGUUUAAGCAGGUAGGCGUGCUGCGUAGGCAAAUCCGCGCGGCUUAGCCGAGAUGUGAUGACGAGGAGCCACGUGCUCUGAAGUGCUAGAUACCACGCUUCCAGGAAAAGCCUCUAAGCUUCAGUCAUGGAUUGACCGUACCGCAAACCGACACAGGUGGGCAGGAUGAAAAUUCUCAGGCGCUUGAGAGAACCCAGGAGAAGGAACUCGGCAAAUUGAUACCGUAACUUCGGGAGAAGGUAUGCCCCUAGUAGGUAAAGUCCCUCGCGGAUGGAGCCCAACGGGGUCGCAGAGAAUCGGUGGCUGCGACUGUUUAAUAAAAACACAGCACUCUGCAAACACGAAAGUGGACGUAUAGGGUGUGACGCCUGCCCGGUGCCGGAAGGUUAAGUGAUGGGGUGCAAGCUCUUGAUCGAAGCCCCGGUAAACGGCGGCCGUAACUAUAACGGUCCUAAGGUAGCGAAAUUCCUUGUCGGGUAAGUUCCGACCUGCACGAAUGGCGUAACGAUGGCCACACUGUCUCCUCCUGAGACUCAGCGAAGUUGAAAUGUUUGUGAAGAUGCAAUCUCCCCGCGGCUAGACGGAAAGACCCCAUGAACCUUUACUGUAGCUUUGCAUUGGACUUUGACGGGACUUGUGUAGGAUAGGUGGGAGGCUAUGAAACCGGGACGCCAGUUCCGGUGGAGCCAUCCUUGAAAUACCACCCUGGUGUCGUCGAGGUUCUAACCCAGGCCUGUGAAUCCAGGUCGGGGACCGUGCAUGGUGGGCAGUUUGACUGGGGCGGUCUCCUCCCAAAAGGUAACGGAGGAGUACGAAGGUCACCUAGGUACGGUCGGACAUCGUACUGAUAGUGCAAUGGCAAAAGGUGGCUUGACUGCGAGACCCACAAGUCGAGCAGGUGCGAAAGCAGGUCAUAGUGAUCCGGUGGUUCUGUAUGGAAGGGCCAUCGCUCAACGGAUAAAAGGUACUCCGGGGAUAACAGGCUGAUACCGCCCAAGAGUUCAUAUCGACGGCGGUGUUUGGCACCUCGAUGUCGGCUCAUCACAUCCUGGGGCUGUAGUCGGUCCCAAGGGUAUGGCUGUUCGCCAUUUAAAGUGGUACGUGAGCUGGGUUUAAAACGUCGUGAGACAGUUUGGUCCCUAUCUGCCGUGGGCGCUGGAAGUUUGAGAGGGCCUGCUCCUAGUACGAGAGGACCGGAGUGGACGCACCGCUGGUGUACCGGUUGUGACGCCAGUCGCAUCGCCGGGUAGCUAUGUGCGGAAGAGAUAACCGCUGAAAGCAUCUAAGCGGGAAACUCGCCUCAAGAUGAGACUUCCCCGGGGCCUCGAGCCCCCUGAAGGGUCGUUGAAGACCACAACGUUGAUAGGCCGGGUGUGUAAGCGUGGCAACACGUUCAGCUAACCGGUACUAAUUGCCCGUGUGGCUUGAUCCU
rnacentral:rRNA from 1 species